rnacentral:rRNA from 1 species
GACUCUCGGCAACGGAUAUCUCGGCUCUCGCAUCGAUGAAGAACGUAGCGAAAUGCGAUACUUGGUGUGAAUUGCAGGAUCCCGUGAACCAUCGAGUCUUUGAACGCAAGUUGCGCCCGAAGCCUUCUGGCCGAGGGCACGUCUGCCUGGGUGUCACGCA